CGUAGGUGGCAAGCGUUGUCCGGAUUUAUUGGGUUUAAAGGGUGCGUAGGUGGCCCUGUAAGUCAGUGGUGAAAUAUCUCAGCUUAACUGAGAGGGUGCCAUUGAUACUGCAGGGCUUGAGUACAGAUGAGGUAGGCGGAAUUGACGGUGUAGCGGUGAAAUGCAUAGAUAUCGUCAAGAACACCGAUAGCGAAGGCAGCUUACCAAGCUGUAACUGACACUGAGGCACGAAAGUGUGGGGAUCAAACAGGAUUAGAUACCCUGGUAGUCCACACUGUAAACGUUGAUGACUCGAUGUUGCGAUACACAGCCAGCGUCCAAGAGCAAUCGUUAAGUCAUCCACCGUGGGACGUACGCCGGCAACGGUG
rnacentral:rRNA from 1 species